GUUUUAAUAGUUUAGAAAAAAAUAUAGAUUUUGUAAAUCUAAGAUAAUUAUUAUUUUAAAACU
rnacentral:tRNA from 1 species